rnacentral:rRNA from 1 species
UACGGAGGAUCCAAGCGUUAUCCGGAUUUAUUGGGUUUAAAGGGUGCGUAGGCGGUCCUAUAAGUCAGUGCUGAAAUAUCCCGGCUUAACCGGGAGGGUGGCAUUGAUACUGCAGGACUUGAGUAAAGUUGAGGUUGGCGGAAUUGACGGUGUAGCGGUGAAAUGCUUAGAUAUCGUCAAGAACACCUAUUGCGAAGGCAGCUAACUAAGCUUUAACUGACGCUGAGGCACGAAAGUGUGGGGAUCAAACAGG